rnacentral:rRNA from 1 species
UUCGCAAUGCCCGAAAGGGUGAACGAGCGACGCCGCGUGCGGGAUGAAGGCCUUCGGGUUGUAAACCGCUUUUCUUAAGGAAGAACUUAAUGACGGUACUUAAGGAAUAAGAGGUUACUAACUCUGUGCCAGCAGUAGCGGUAAUACGGAGGGGGCAAGCGUUGUUCGGAUUUACUGGGCGUAAAGGGUGUGUAGGCGGCUGGGUAAGUCUGGUGUGAAAUCUUCACCGCUUAACGGGGAGAGGUCAAUGGAAACUGCCUAGCUCGAGUAUGGUAGAGGCAAGCGGAAUUCCUGGUGUAGCGGUGGAAUGUGUAGAUAUCAGGAAAAACACCGGUGGCGAAGGCGGCUUGCUGGGCCAUCACUGACGCUGAGACACGAAAGCGUGGGGAGCAAACGGGAUUAGAUACCCCGGUAGUCCACGCUGUAAACGGUGGGCACUAAGUAGAGGGGUUUU